rnacentral:rRNA from 1 species
UACGAAGGGGGCUAGCGUUGCUCGGAAUCACUGGGCGUAAAGGGUGCGUAGGCGGGUCUUUAAGUCAGGGGUGAAAUCCUGGAGCUCAACUCCAGAACUGCCUUUGAUACUGAAGAUCUUGAGUUCGGGAGAGGUGAGUGGAACUGCGAGUGUAGAGGUGAAAUUCGUAGAUAUUCGCAAGAACACCUGUGGCGAAAGCGGCUCACUGGACCAUAACUGACGCUGAUGCACGAAAGCUGGGGGAGCAAACAGG